rnacentral:rRNA from 1 species
GAAGGAGAUCGUAACACGGCCUUUUUUCACUCAAAAUGCAGAGAAAGAGCAAGACAAAGCAGAAUAAUUUCUCCACAACGAGAGGAUGGAAGGAUAUGUUAUCAACAGGGAGAAAUUGAAGACAUAGCUAUUAACUUUUUCUGCGAAUUGUUUUCUGCUCAGGAGAACCUGAAACCAGAUAAAGUGAUAAAAUACAUGCUACCGAAAGUAACAAAGGAUAUGAAUAAGCACUUGUGUAAACCGUUUACUUUAGAAGAAGUUGAGAAGGCACUAUUUAGGAUGAAACCAAAUAAAUCUCCAGGCCCAGAUGGUUUUACAGCAGGAUUUUUUCAAAACCAUUGGGAACUG